rfam:Eucalyptus grandis cultivar BRASTZ1 unplaced genomic scaffold scaffold_6, whole genome shotgun sequence.
GGGUGCGAUCAUACCAGCACUAAUGCACCGGAUCCCAUCAGAACUCCGAAGUUAAGCGUGCUUGGGCGAGACUAGUACUAGGAUGGGUGACCUCCUGGGAAGUCCUCGUGUUGCACCCC